rnacentral:rRNA from 1 species
CGUAGGAGGCGAGCGUUAUCCGGAGUUACUGGGCGUAAAGCGCGUGUAGGUGGCUGGAUACGUCUGUUGUGAAAGCUCCCGGCUUAACCGGGAAGAUGCGGCAGAUACGGUUCGGCUUGAGGGUGACAGAGGAGCGUAGAAUUCCGGGUGUAGUGGUGAAAUGCGUAGAGAUCCGGAGGAAUACCAGUGGCGCAAGCGGCGCUCUGGGUCGCACCUGACACUGAGACGCGAAGGCAUGGGGAGCGAACGGGAUUAGAAACCCCGGUAGUCCAUGCAGUAAACGAUGCAGACUGGGUGUGGGUAGCGCAAGCUAUCUGUGCCGAAGCCAACGCGCUAAGUCUGCCGCCUGGGAAGUACGGUCGCAAGACUA